UACGUAGGGGGCAAGCGUUGUCCGGAAUCAUUGGGCGUAAGCGCGCGUAGGCGGCCCGGUAAGUCCGCUGUAAAAGUCCAGGGCUCAACCCUCGAAUGCCGGUGGAUACUGUCGGGCUAGAGUGCGGAAGAGGCGAGUGGAAUUCCUGGUGUAGCGGUGAAAUGCGCAGAUAUCAGGAGGACACCGAUUGCGAAGGCAGCUCGGCUGGGACGCAACUGACGCUGAGACGCGAAA
rnacentral:rRNA from 1 species